UGAAAGGCGAAACGUAAUGUGAAUCGCAACUAACAGUGAAUCAUCGAAUCUUUGAACGCAGGCCGCACCUUGCAAUAUCACUCUGUGUUCUUGCAAGGUAUCUACGUAUGAGUGUCAGCCAAAUUUUCUUUUGAUUUAAGUGAUGAAUUGAGUUUUUUGCUCUUGAAUUCCCUUGAAUACAUUGCGUUGUAUAGGACUUGUUCUAUACAAUAUCGUGUAAUGUCUGGCCUCAUAUGUGGAAGAUUACCCGCUGGAUUUAA
rnacentral:misc_RNA from 1 species